AGCAGCCGCGGUAAUUCCAGCUCCAACAGCGUAUAUUAAAGUUGUUGCAGUUAAAAAGCUCGUAGUUGAAUUUCGGGGUUAGUAGGUUGGUCAUGCCUCUGGUAUGUACUAGUCUCACUGAUUCCUCCUUCCUGAUGAACCGUAAUGCCAUUAAUUUGGUGUUGCGGGGAAUUUGGACUGUUACUUUGAAAAAAUUAGAGUGUUUAAAGCAAGCUAACGCUUGAAUACAUUAGCAUGGAAUAAUGAAAUAGGACGUUCGAUCCUAUUUUGUUGGUUUCUAGGAUUGACGUAAUGAUUAAUAGGGAUAGUUGGGGGCAUUAGUAUUCAAUUGUCAGAGGUGAAAUUCUUGGAUUUAUUGAAGACUAACUACUGCGAAAGCAUUUGCCAAGGAUGUUUUCAUUAAUCAAGAACGAAAGUUAGGGGAUCGAAGACGAUCAGAUACCGUCGUAGUCUUAACCAUAAACUAUGCCGACUAGGGAUCGGAUGAUGUUAAUUUUUAAUGACUCAUUCGGCGCCUUAA
rnacentral:rRNA from 1 species